rnacentral:rRNA from 1 species
AUUGAACGCUGGCGGCAUGCUUUACACAUGCAAGUCGAACGGCAGCGGGGGCUUCGGCCUGCCGGCGAGUGGCGAACGGGUGAGUAAUACAUCGGAACGUAUCCUUGAGUGGGGAAUAACGCAUCGAAAGAUGUGCUAAUACCGCAUACCUCUAAGGAGAAAAGCAGGGGACAGAAAUGCCUUGCGCUGAAGGAGCGGCCGAUGUCUGAUUAGCUAGUUGUGGGUAAAGCCUACCAAGGCGACGAUCAGUAGUUGGUCUGAGAGGACGACCAGCCACACUGGGACUGAGACACGGCCCAGACUCCUACGGGAGGCAGCAGUGGGGAAUUUUGGACAAUGGGCGAAAGCCUGAUCCAGCCAUGCCGCGUGAGUGAAGAAGGCCUCGGUU